GACGAACGCUGGCGGCGUGCCUAAUACAUGCAAGUCGAGCGGAGUUACAGGAGCUUGCUCCUGUAACUUAGCGGCGGACGGGUGAGUAACACGUGGGCAACCUGCCUAUAAGACUGGGAUAACUUCGGGAAACCGGAGCUAAUACCGGAUAAUUCCUUUCCUCUCAUGAGGGAAGGUUGAAAGACGGUUUCGGCUGUCACUUAUAGAUGGGCCCGCGGCGCAUUAGCUAGUUGGUGAGGUAAUGGCUCACCAAGGCGACGAUGCGUAGCCGACCUGAGAGGGUGAUCGGCCACACUGGGACUGAGACACGGCCCAGACUCCUACGGGAGGCAGCAGUAGGGAAUCUUCGGCAAUGGGCGAAAGCCUGACCGAGCAACGCCGCGUGAAUGAUGAAGGCCUUCGGGUUGUAAAAUUCUGUUAUAAGGGAAGAAUGGCUCUAGUAGGAAAUGGCUAGAGUGUGACGGUACCUUAUGAGAAAGCCACGGCUAACUACGUGCCAGCAGCCGCGGUAAAAC
rnacentral:rRNA from 1 species